rnacentral:lncRNA from 1 species
AUUCCCUCCAUGGAUCCUGGGCUCAGGUCUCCCAACGGGACCCUGCCUACCCCAGGCCAGCUGGGAAUUGCAGAGUCUCUCUGGGAAAGUGGCCUGAAACUCCCAAAUGUGAGGGUGACCAGAAGCCCCAUUCUAGUCACCAGUAUGCGCCUAGGGUGCUAGGUUAGGUGACCAUGAACAGAACUCUGCAGCCCAAUGGAUCUCAGAUCAGGAGCCUUGGUGACAGGCAGGUCUGAGGCAGUAGAAUGCCUUCCUGUCCGUCAGGAUUCAUCUGUCACUCACGUUCUCCCAGCUUCCAUAAGAAUCCCGACUGGGCGGGGCACGGUGACACAUGCCUGUAGUCCCAGCGGCUUGGGAGCCUGAGACAGGAGGAUCUCAAAUUCAAAGCCAAGCUCAGCAACUUAGCAAGGCCCUAAGUAACUCAAAGUAACCCGGUCUCUAAAUACAAUAUAAAAAGGGCUAGGGACGUGGCUCGAUGGCACCUCUGGGUUCAAUCCCCGGUACCAAAAAAAGGAUAAAAAGAAUCCCAACUGAGCCACCACCUAUCUAUAUGACCUCAGCAAGUUACUAAACCUUUCUGGAUCUCAGUGUCCCCACCUGUGCUAUAGGUAAAAUAAUGGUCACCCUCCCAUGGUUGCUGGGUGGAUGGAAGGAGACAGAGCUUGGCGCGUCCCCUGGAGAGCCAGUCAGUGGUGUCAUUAUUAACAACAAUAGACUGGACAGCACCUGGGUCAAAUGGUCUGCCUCUGAGGACCUUCAGAAAGCAGGGGCAGGGGACCAAAG